UGAGUUUCAGAGAAACCCGCUGCCAAGAGCACAGCAGGCCUUCCGGCCCGGGGCCUGCCCGCCGGCCGCGCUCCGCCGCCGCGUCCAGAGCCAGCUGUCUGUCGGCGUCGGGGACCAGAGACCUGUUUGGCCCGACAUCCAUCUAUACAUCUCCAGGUAAGUCACCCCGGAGAGAGCUGCCCCUGGCUGCCGUCCCCAGGGGUGGCCUGGGUCUGUUGGGGGAGGACAGAGUCAGGAGGCCACUGUGGAGACCAGGAGGGCUGGAGAACUGGGACGGGUGGUCUCCAGCUGGAGAAGGAAGCAGACACAGUUUGUGGCCACGCUGAGCGAAGCAGGUCCCUCUGCAAAGGGUCAGCCAGGCGGUAGUGUCCAGGGGACACAGAGAUGCCUGCCCAGUCCCUGGCCUCCUGCUGGGCCUGGUCAGGGCAGAAUUGUUGGCUCCAGGAAGCAGGGAAAGCUCCAGAGAAAGCAAAUGUGUGCUCUGCCCCUUCCCCCCGCCCCUGGCAUCAUGAAUAUGAGGGUGGCUCCGACAGGGCUGUGAACUUGAACAACAAAAUGCCGAUGAUUCCCAUGAGGGGGCCCAGGGCAGGCUUGAGCCACUUGUAGGGGAGCUCAGGUUAAAGGGGGACCCAGAGGGGUGAAGGAGCAAACAGCUCAAAUCGUGCUCAACCGUUGUGUGUCCUUGGCAAGUUGCUCGGCUUUUCUGAGCCUCAGUUUGCACAUCUUGUUAAAUGCAGAUGCAAAUAUUGGCACCUAGUCGGUACUUGGCUCCUGACUGUUGGGUGAGUGGUCCGGAAAGGCGUCCCAGGCAAGAAAGAGUCUUGGCAGGAAGGAACAGGGUUCAUGUGGGAACAACUCAAGACGAGAGUCAUUAUUCUCAUCUCAGCCAGGGCAGUGUGCACACAGUAGGUGCUUAAUAUAGCUUUGAUGAGAAAUUAGGGUCAGGGACUCCCGGGGUGGACAGUGCUGGUGCCGUCUGCGAAGGCCUCCCUGCUGCCGGCGCAGAGCUCCUCUUCCUUCCCUCGCCUGAGCUCGGGCUUCACAUGCACAGCCCUAGCAGGACGCGGGGUGUGCGGGCAGACUGGAUUCCAGUCCUGGCUCUGCCACCUACUGUGUGUGCUGUAUGACUGGGGGCAGGUCACCCCACCUCUGUGCUUCAGAUGCCGAGUCCACGAGUCCUCCACUCCUAGGGUUCUCUUGAGGAUCAGGCCAGUGACCAUCUCUAGAGUGUCUGGUGCAUAGUGGGUGCCACAUAAGCUUAUCGCUAUAAUCCUCCUUACCAUGACCAGCUCCGGGCGGUCUCGGGCCUGGACUGCAUAGCUCCUGGAGACUCUCCUGGGGGCUGCGGCGUGCUGGCCGUGCUGGCCCUCCCUGCCCCACCCCAAAGCAUAGGGCUAAGGCAGUGGUUCUCAGCUGGACCCAAUUUUGCUUCCCUCCUCCCGGCCCCAGGGACAUUUGAUAAUGUCUGGAGACAUAUUUGGUUAUGACUCAGGAUGUUAUGGCAUCUGGUAGAUAGAGGCCAGCAAUGCUGUAAAUACCCUGCAGUGUACAGGACAGCACUGUGCCGUCCCCACGUCUCUGUCAGGCCCCGUCCUUCCCACUCAUCCCACCUUUUCCAUCCCCUGAGCCUUUCCCCGUCUCCCUUUUACAGUCCAGAGCCUGAUGCCCAGAGAGGGAAAGCUCCUUGCUGAGGUCACACAGCCCCUAGAACUCAGGCAGCAGAGGUGGGGGUGGGGGAGACUGGUCUUGUAGCAUUGUUCAGUCAAUCAACAGACACUUGAGAGUCUGCUGGAUGUGGGGACCUGCCCCUGGCCCCCAACAGCCCAGUGCUCUGGGCCCUGACAGUUGAAGGCUGUUCAGAGUGCAGCGACAGCUGGGUCAGCCCGGGUCUGUGGGGAGUGGGAGCCCCUGGGCAGCCGCUCGGAGCAGCGGCUUCUGCUCUCCUGAUGCACAUUUGCUGGAGUGGUUAGUGCCAGCUGCUGGGUGAGAGGGACCUGGGUUCCAGUCAGAGUCAGGCAGCCUGCCACUGGCCGUCAGGAUUGGAAGCUUGACCUCUCUGAGCCUCAGGUUGUGUAGCUGAGGAAUGGGGAUGACAGUUCCCAUGUAACCGAGUUGAGGUGAGGUUUAGAUUGAAUGGAUGAUGCUCAUAAGUGGCACUGUAAAGUCUCUGGCACCGAGGCUCUUGUUGUUGUCACCUGUCUGACAAAUAUGUAUUGGGUGGAAGCAGGGGCUACAGGAGAAAACGAGAGCGCCAACGGCUUGCCUUGGGGAGCCCGGCCUGGUCAGAGACAGAGGAGCAAGCAGCCAGCGAUCACCGCCGUCAGGGCUGGCAUGUGGGAGGACGGGCUCUGGGGGAGCAGAGGAGGUGCCUGACUCGGCCUGGGGCCGGAGGGGCGGGAAUCAUGGAACCUGCAGUGCAGAGGGCACAACCGAGGGGACCUGCAGCACAUGGCCAGGCAAAGGGUGUGCGCACCGUUCUGGGCCGAGGGAACAGCCUGUGCAAAGGCUCCUCUGGGUGGUCUCUCCUCUCCCUCCGUUGGUUAGUGGAGGAAGUCUCUAGGCAUCAUGCACUCCUCUCUCCUAGGAAGCCCCCACAGCCCCUCACGCCUCCCCAGGCUGCCAGGUCCCACGCACCCUCAGAGGUGUCUCCACCCAUCACAGUGGGCUGUAUACCUUUUCAGGAACCCAGUACUGAUGGCCUGUGCACACCACAGAUGUUUAUUGGGCACCUACUGUGUGCCUUGCUGGUAUAGGCAGGGGAGCAAGACAGGGGUUCCACUCUCAUGGUACUUACGUUCUAGAAGGGGACAGAGAUCAUAUGUCAACAAAUCGAUACACCUAUUUUCGGUGGUGAAGAAAAAUAAGGCUGGGCCAAGGAAAGAGUGAGAAGGGGAGGCAGUUUUAGAGAGGGAGGUCAGGGAAGGCCUCUUGGAGGAGGCCAUUUAGGCGGAGACCUGAAUGAAGCGAGGGAUAUUGGGGGAAGAGUGUCCAGUCAGAAGGAACAGACAGUGCAAAGGCCCUGAGGUUGGACCAUGCCUGAUUUGUUCAAGUGAUCUGAAUGAGUAACAUAAGGAGCCCUGUGUGGCUGGUUGGAGUGAGUGAGGGCGAGGAGGUGACAGGGCUGAUUGUGCAAAGCCUUGGGGGCCGCUGUAAGCCCUGGGCUUUAACCCUGAGUGAGGCGGGAGUCCCAGAGGGCUGCAAGUAGAGAAGGACGUGAUAGCAUAAGGGCAGCCAGGCCCCGGGCUCCAUGCUUGGCAAGCCUUAUCUUAGAGAAUCCCGCAACCCCCCAGUGUCUGGCACCUCUGCUGGCCCCAUUUUCCACAAGGGGUCUAGCGAGCUCGCUCCCUGCCCAGGACCGCACCACCAGUGCUGGCGGAUCCAUGAUUCCAUGGCUCAAACCUGCCGCCCUGGUGUCAGGGGGAAGAUAAGGAGGGUCUGUCACCGUCUGGGGCACAACGCUAACUGCUGUCGUUGCGACUUAGAACAUCAGCACGGGGCAUUUCGUUGGCUGACACGUGCCCGUGCUGCCUCUAUUGGUGGGCACAGGGCGCCACCGUGGCCUGUGGACGAAGGAGCACGAAUGUGGUUUCAGGGGGACUCGGAGUCUUGGGCAGAGACUGGGGGUCAGUGGGAGGCGGCGCGGGCAGUGGGGGCUGGGCCCCAUUUCGGCAGCGCCUUGAGUGGAGAUGCCUCCCGGGUCCGGCUGAGGGUGGAAUGUGGCGCCUCCAGGUCUGGCUGGUGUCCCCCGCCCCCCCCACCAAGUCCAGUUGGAUUGGCUCAUUCUCUCUGCAGCCUGACUGCCUCAGUCUCCCCUUCGGGCUCUCAUGAUGGACAUUCAAUUGGGACUUUUGACGCUCAGAGUAUGUUCUGUGGAACAGUAGUCUUCAAGGCCCUGCUGCGUAGGCGUGGGGAUUGAACACCCCUAACAAGGGGCCUUCCAUGCAGGCCUUCUCAGAGCCUUUACUAUGCUAAGAUGUUUGUGAAAAUGGACUCAAUCACUUGACCCUUUUUCCUCUGAAGUGUGUUUGGGGUAUCAGGUCUCUCUGGAACAAAUAUAAUCGAAUGCUGCCUUUACCCAGGGAGGACGCCCGAGUGGUGGAAUUUCAGGCAGCCAGGUCUGGCCAAGGAUCCCAGGUUUCCUGGUCCUCUUCCCAGGGCCUGGGCGGUGAGAACAAGGUUCGUGUCCUCUUGUCCCCGGUGGAGCUGCAAACUCUGGGAAGGCCAGGUUGGGAUCUCUGAACUCAUCAGGAGCUCACAAGCUCCAGGGGAGCCUGGAUGGGGUCACCCAGGCAGGACUGGGGUGGGGGAGUCUCAGGGUGGGAAAGCCACGGAGUCUGCAGGGACACAGCUCAGGAGGGAACAUCUGAUCUGUCCGCCUGAGUCACGCCAGGGUCACACCAGGAGGCUGCGGACUGGCCAGCUCCUUGGAAAGCUGGUGUCACUGUUGUCAUUAUUGACAGUGAGACAGGGAAGUACAAUAGAGUUGAGGAUGCACAGGGGAUGCACCUGUCCCCGGGACACCCUGGCCUCGGGCCCAAGGGGGCGAGUCAUGGCUCAUGGCCCAGAAUGGGGCCCCAGGGCCGGCCUCUCCCCACCCCCUCUCUGUGCUAGCACCCCUCUGGCUACCCAGGCUGCACCUGUGGCCACCGCGGGGCGGAGCUUCUCAAACCGUGUUGCCGACAGUUUCCUACCACAGCUUCCUGCCCCGGAGAGCAGCUUUGCUACCCUACCCCUCCCCAGGGUCCCUGGACAAGUCCCCACCUUGCUGCCUUCUCUUGGGUCCUGACACUCUAUGGGGAGUGACUAUCUGAGGUUGUGAGGCAGGGGUGGCCGGAUUUGGGAAGUGGAGAGGAGUGGGGAGGGUGCACCCAGCGGAGGGUACGGCAAGGAUAAACCUACGGAAGUGAAUUUGAAGGAAGGCGAAUGCGCAGCCUGGCUGGAGCAAAAGGAGGGCCGAGGAGUUAGCUGGGUUCAAUGAAGUAGGCAGGAGGGAGUCACAGGAGGUUCUUGAGCAAGGGAGGCCUUGGGGAAGAAUUGGCUAGAGGCAACUUGCAGACCCUGGAGCUCAGGUCUUGUGGGAAACAGACUGUGGGGUUCAACCAACCACAGGCACCAUGUAAGUUAGAUCUGGAUCUCAGGUUUUAUUAAUAGAAACAGCUGGUGGAGAUCAAAGGAGGUGAUGCCAGCACAAAUCGACCUCAGGAGACAGAUCUGGACUGGACAGGUGGACGUGUCUGUGUAGCCACAGAUAGGACAGCCUAGGUAGGGGACAGGGGUUGGGGAAGGAGAGAGCAGAAACCAUCAGGGGGAGGAGGCAAGCCCAGGAAUUUGUGAAGGACCCAAGAGAGCCAUGAGGCCCAAGCAGCAGAUGGGGGUCACUGGUGUCCAUCCCUCAGGGGACCCAGCAUCGAGGAGGGCACUGAGUGCUUGCCUGGUGCCCACCGGGCAGCGGUACCAAUGCUCCCGGCAGCUGGAGAGCCGCCUGGUGGGGGAGCAGAUUGUGAGGCUGGAUGAGAGGGUUGGAGCCCAGGAGGUGGGGCGGGAGUGUGGGCAGCCCUGUUCCCGUCCCAGUUAUUAUUUUUGGUGCCUGGUGUACCUAUGCCUUCGGGCUCUUUUUCUCCCUUUAAUUAAAAAAAAUAAAGUAUAAUUUACAUACAGUAAAAUUCACCCAUUUUAGUGAGUUUGUGAGAUUUGAUGAAUGCAUAUAGCCGAGAAACCACCAUCUCAAUCAAAAUACAGACUAUUCCCCAAGUUCCCUCAUGCCCCUUUGUAGUCAGUCUGUCCCCCCGUCCCCCAGGCUCUGGCAACCACUGAUGUGUACUCCCUGGGUACAGUUUUGAAUGGAAGCAGAGUUUGUAGCCUUUUGAGUCUGCCUUCUUUCAACUCAGGCUGAUGCCUUUGAGGUUCAUCCCCAUAGCUGGGUGUAUUAGCAUUUCAUCCCAUCUUAUCACUGAGUAGUGUCCCAUUGUAGGGACCUACCACAGUUUCUCUAUUCAUCUGUUGAGAAACAUUUAAGCUGUUUCCAAAAUUUGGCGAUUAUGGAUACGGCUGCUCUAAACAUUCCUAUGCAGGUUUUCGUGUGAAUAUAAGCUUCCAUUUCUCUAGGGGGAAUACCUAGGACCUUGCGACUCUUUUUAAAACACCCUUAUGGAGUGGUGACCUGUGUCUCCAGGUGGGGACACAAAUGCCAUCCUGAUUAAUUGCCUGCCUGUGACUGUUGGGACAUCCAGGACGCCCUCAGUCCUGUCCUCCCAGGCCCGGCGUCAGAAGCGAUCUGGUUAGAGUGCAGAUUCUGGCCCCUGCUUGAGCUGCCCUGGCCCAGACCUCACCUCUUGCCCGUUCCAGUUCUUCCUCUCGGCCCCGUGCCCACCCUUGCCUGUCCCCAGACACCCAGCGGGGAGGCAGCCAUUCUCAACCCACAUAAGCUUCCUCUGUGCCCCUGCUGAUGUUUGUUUAACUAAGCAGGGGGCCCGAGGACCCUUCCCGGAACAGAAACUGGUGCCUGGGGGGGCCUUGCUGGGCCCACCUUAGUAGAGAAAUGACCGGAUAUGGCUAUGGGGAGAUAAUUUUUUCCCAGCAUUAUAUUUAAACUUACAAAUAUACAGCAAAAUGGAAAGGAUUCACUGUAUACCCAUUAGCCACCCCCCAGAUUCUACAAUUAACAUUUUGCCAUAUUUGCUUUAUCACACGCAGUCGAUCCUCAUUAUUAGCAGAUUCCCUGUUUGCCAAUUCACCUACUUGCUAAAAUUCAUUUGUAACCCCAAAACUAAUACUCAAGAAGGUUUCACUGUCAUUCGAGGACAUAGGCACAGCAGGGAGAAAUUGGAGUCCAUUGACACGCACGCAGGCUCCUGCUGAGCGUGAACAAGGUGUCACUCUGCCUUCUUGUUGCAGCUCCCAUACUGUAGGCAAGUGUCCUCAGGGUUUAUUUGGUGCCACACUGUUGUGCUUUUUGUUGGCGAUUUCACUGUUUAAUGACCCCCACCCCGCCAGUGCAGUGCUGCAGUGCUGUGCAGUGUUCCUUAGUGCCAGAAGGCUGAGAUGUGCCUGACAGAGAAAACGCGUGUUAAGGAAGCUUACAGCAACGGUGCUGGGGACUGAAAGUCCAGUGUUAACGAAUCAACAAUAUGUAUUAGUAAGGUGUCCUUAAACAGACGUACACACAAAACAACGCUACAUACCGAUGGGUUGAUGAAAAUGCUGUGACCAGAGGUUUAAGGGACCCUGACCCUGGAUUUCCUCUAGGAGCAAUGGUUCAGCGUUUGCUAAUUCAGUGUCUGCAGUGACUUUAUAGAACUGCUGUGAAUAAUAAGACUUGGCUGUAUCUAUCUACCUCCCUGCUGGCCCCCAUCCAUCGCUCUCCACCCAUCCAUCUUUCAAAGUAAACUACAGUCAUCAGCACCCAUCACACCUAAAUAUUUCUGCACCCAGAUCAUGAACUAGGGUUCAAUAUUUUAUGGUUUUUUUUUUUAUUGAGGGGCCCAAAUAUGAUGAAAUGAACAAAUGGUAAGCGUACAUUCUCCAAGUUUUGAGAAAUUCAGACACCUGUGUAACCCAGUGCUUAUCAAGAUAUUGGACAUCACCAUCCCCCCAGGAAGUUGAGAGUAGACAAGUUGGGUUAGCUGCCUCACCAGAUAUCUAUUUAUCUAAAUGUCCUGCUCCCCAGAUAGGGUCAUAUUUUCCAAUCACACAUCUCAUUUUGUUUAAUGGCUGUGUCAAAUGGGGUUAUAUGGAGUUAAACCCUAAAAUAUAACCAAUCCCCUAUUGAUAUUCAGAUUGGUUUAUGCUGUCUAGAAACUUGUCCAUGAAGGCAGAGGGGCAGGGCAAGGGGGAAUUUCUAAGGCUGAGGGGAAAGGGUCAGUGGACAGGGAGAGGGGAAGGCUAAUGGGGUUAAAUUCCUUGAGGAACAAAGCUUGUUCCAGCUUCAGGGCCUUUGCACUUGCUGUUCCCUCUGCCUGAAGUGCUCUCCAUGCUUUCUGAAAAGCAGGCUCCUUCUCAUCCUUCGGAUCUCAGGUCAAAUGCUACCUCCUCAGAGAAGGGGACCAUCACAGCUACAUGGCCUCUUCUCUCUAACACCACUCUAUUUGUUUCCUUUCUAACUCUGUCCUCAAUCUGUGAUGACUAUUUUUGUCUCUUUCCUUGUUUAUUGCAUCCCCCCCCCCCCC
rnacentral:lncRNA from 1 species